GCUUGACAAGAAGCUUUCUCAGUAGACUGGACCACAAUCCUUUCUAGACGUGUGUACUAGAAGAGGGAUGCAGUGGACUUGACUAUGGAACAGAAGUGGCCAAUCAGAGUCUUUGUCACUGAUUGUGACAUUA